rnacentral:lncRNA from 9 species
CAUUAACCCACUGAGAGAGGCUGGGGAUCGAACCCGCAACCUCAUGGUUCCUAGUCGGAUUCUUUAACCACUGAGCCACGACGGGAACUUCCCGGUUGACUUCAGUUCUUGAAACAACUCUAUGAUGUAGGUUCUACCAUCCCAUUUUAUAGAUGAGACAACUGAAAACUGAGGCUUAGAGAUGUAACCUGCCCCGUUCACACAGCCGGCACAGUUAAUAAAUGGAGACAUUGAGCUCUGAGGUCAAUAGUAUCUGACAGCAGCGUGCACACAUUUAACUGCCUACUGCCUCCCAUGGGGCUGCCUGGAGCCUUUGUCCUUCUCUAACUUUUAUAGGUUCUAUCCUUUCUUCGUGGUCUCCAAAUGUUUGUUUUUUGUCUUGUGUUUUUGUUUUGUCUCUAGAUCCUUCCCUUCUCUAAGACCAGUGGUUCUUCAACUUUGAAGGGAGAGGGUAGGUCUUGAACCCCUCCCAGGACAUGACAAAAAUCUGUGGGACUCUUUUCAGGAAAUGUUGGAGGAGAAGACAUCAGGAUCCAAGGAAACACUUAAUUAGAGCUUGUUGCGCUGUCGUCUGGGAGCAUUUCCUGUGAAGGGAGAGGGGAACGGAGAGAGGCAUUGUUCACUGUCAAGCUUGCCCAGCAGGACCCUGACACUGAUGCUGGAAAGAUGCUCC